AUUGAACGCUGGCGGCAGGCCUAACACAUGCAAGUCGAGCGGAGCGGCGGACGGGUGCGUAAUGCCUAGGAAUCUGCCUGGUAGUGGGGGAUAACGUCCGGAAACGGGCGCUAAUACCGCAUACUAUCAGAUGAGCCUAGGUCGGAUUAGCUAGUUGGUGGGGUAAAGGCCUACCAAGGCGACGAUCCGUAACUGGUCUGAGGGGAUGAUCAGUCACACGGGAACGAAGACACGGUCCGAACUCGUAGGGGGGGCAGAGGUGGGAAAUAUUGGACAAUGGGCGAAAGCCUGAUCCAGCCAUGCCGCGUGUGUAAAGAAGGUCUUCGGUUUGAAAAGCACUUUAAGUUGGGAGGCGUUACCCGCAGAAGAAGCACCGGCUAACUCCGUGCCAGCAGCCGCGGUAAUAC
rnacentral:rRNA from 1 species